rnacentral:rRNA from 1 species
UACGUAGGGGGCUAGCGUUGUCCGGAUUUAUUGGGCGUAAAGAGCGUGUAGGCGGCCAGGUAGGUCUGGUGUGAAAACUCGAGGCUUAACCUCGAGAUGUCAUCGGAAACCAUUUGGCUAGAGUCCGGAAGAGGAGAGUGGAAUUCCUGGUGUAGCGGUGAAAUGCGCAGAUAUCAGGAAGAACACCAAUGGCGAAAGCAGCUCGCUGGGACGUUACUGACGCUGAGACGCGAAAGCGUGGGGAGCAAACAGG